AUUGAACGCUGGCGGCAUGCUUUACACAUGCAAGUCGAACGGUAACAGGCCUUCGGGUGCUGACGAGUGGCGAACGGGGGAGUAAUGCAUCGUAACGUGCCCAGUGGUGGGGGAUAACGCAGCGAAAGCUGUGCUAAUACCGCAUGUGAUCUGAGGAUGAAAGCGGGGGACCAGGCAGCAAUGUUUGGCCUCGCGGCUUUGUAGAGGCCGAUGUCGGAUUAGGUAGUUGGUGGGGUAAAGGGGUACCAAGCCGACGAUCGGUAGCUGGUCUGAGAGGAAGACCAGCCAGCCUGGGACUGAGACACGGCCCAGACUCCGACGGGAGGACGCAGUGGGGAAUUUUGGGCAAUGGGCGAGUGCCUGAUCCAGCAAUGCCGCGUGCAGGAAGAAGGACUUCGGGUUGUAAACCGCUUUUGUACGGAACGAAAAGGCUCUGGCUAAUCCGUGAGGAUGAUGACGGUACCGUAAGAAUAAGCACCGGCUAACUACGUG
rnacentral:rRNA from 1 species